UACGAAGGGGGCUAGCGUUGUUCGGAAUUACUGGGCGUAAAGCGCACGUAGGCGGAUAUUUAAGUCAGGGGUGAAAUCCCAGAGCUCAACUCUGGAACUGCCUUUGAUACUGGGUAUCUUGAGUAUGGAAGAGGUAAGUGGAAUUCCGAGUGUAGAGGUGAAAGUUCGUAGAUAUUCGGAGGAACACCAGUGGCGAAGGCGGCUUACUGGUCCAUUACUGACGCUGAGGUGCGAAAGCGUGGGGAGCAAACAGG
rnacentral:rRNA from 1 species